AUUCCUUCUUGCCCGACAAGUCAAGCCAAUGGAAAACACCACAGCUCAGCCAGUGAGGAGCCAGCAUCACCUCAACUUUUACUGUCCUGCAGUGAAAUUUUAUUUUUUCUUUGCUGAUAAUAUCUUUUCCUUGUCCUGCCAUCUUUACUAUAAAAACCUUCUUUGCUGUGUAACCUCUCCAAGUAGCUCUUUGUUUGCCAGAUGAGAUGCUGUUCGAUUCAUGAAUCAUUUUAUAAAGCCAAUUAGAUCUUCAAAUUUACUCAGAAAAAAGAUGUGCUCUGGGAACGAUGAAUAUUAGUUAGAAGAGAAAGAGGAGCUAUCCCACGUUGAAGGUCAGGAACGGUGGCAGUAAGGAGAUACCCCUCAUCCAAGGUAAGGAGCAGUGGCUAUGCUUUGCUGGAGCAGCCGUGAAGAGACACCCCAUGCCCAAGGAAAUUAGGACACAGACAUGGACAGAGAGAACCAUGUGAAGCUGCAGGGAGAAGAUGCCACCCACAAGUCAAGGAGAAGGGCCUCAGAAGAAACCAACCUUGCUGGCACCUUGACUCAGACUUCUAGCACCUAAAACUAGUUUGGUGGAGGCCACCCUACGGAUCACAUUUCUCAGACUUUAAUGGGGAUAUGUGAAUCACCUGAGGAUCUUGUUAGAAGGCAGAUUCUAAUUCUGGGUGGAGCUAAGAGUCCAUGAUUCUAGAAGCUUCUAUGUCAAGUCCUUGCUGCUGGAGUCUUGAACACGCUUGAGUAGCAAAGGGAUUCCAGCAAUGAUUGAGUCCUGUACACGGAGAACAGAUUGUUCCAUGUGAGGCCUAUUAGAAGUUAACUCCAAAACAGAUGUUUUUGAAGAUUCUGUUACCAUUAUAGACAAGCUGUUCUCAUUUUGCAGAAAAACAAAUAUGUAAUAAUAAAU
ensembl:lncRNA